GAUGAACGCUAGCUACAGGCUUAACACAUGCAAGUCGAGGGGAAACGACAUCGAAAGCUUGCUUUUGAUGGGCGUCGACCGGCGCACGGGUGAGUAACGCGUAUCCAACCUGCCCAUCACUUGGGAAUAACCUUGCGAAAGUAAGACUAAUACCCAAUGAUAUCCCACGAAGGCAUCGGAAUGGGAUUAAAGAUUUAUCGGUGAUGGAUGGGGAUGCGUCUGAUUAGCUUGUUGGCGGGGUAACGGCCCACCAAGGCAACGAUCAGUAGGGGUUCUGAGAGGAAGGUCCCCCACAUUGGAACUGAGACACGGUCCAAACUCCUACGGGAGGCAGCAGUGAGGAAGAUUGGUCAAUGGGCGAGAGCCUGAACCAGCCAAGUAGCGUGCAGGAUGACGGCCCUAUGGGUUGUAAACUGCUUUUAUAAGGGAAUAAAGUGGGUCUCGUGAGACUUUUUGCAUGUACCUUAUGAAUAAGGACCGGCUAAUUCCGUG
rnacentral:rRNA from 1 species